rnacentral:siRNA from 1 species
UGGACCAUCCAAAUGAUUCA